AGAAAGGAUAGAUCAACUUCAUCUUCUUCAGGGCAUCGACUUUCUGCAGACAGUAGGGAUGAUGUCGACGACAGUUUAGAGUUAUUGUCAUCUUCCGAUGUAUCUACAGAGGAGAAGAAACACCCAAAAUCUUCUGUGGAAAGGAGAGGAUGG